AUGAGAAAGUCACUCUGCUGCUAUUGUUCCUCUUUUUUUGGUCAACGGGCCCUCAGCUGGAUCUGGAUCGAGAGGAGCGCUCGAAUCAGGGAGCGAGCAAGAGAACCAGCGAACGCAGCCAGGGAGGCAGGGGGCAGGGACGACCAGCCAGGGUGGAGGAGAGGCCGGUGCCGUACCGGGCUGCGGCGGCCGGACCGGGCUGUGGCGGCGGUGGCGGCGGCGUACCGGGUUGUGGCGGCGGCGGCCGGACCAGGCAAGUGCGGAGGCGGCCGAACUGGCAGUGGCACCGGCCAAAAUGGAGAGAAGACAGGGCGGUGGAGGCAAGGCGCACUCCCGUGCGAGCUGCCAAAAUGGAGAGAAGCAGAGGAGACCAACCAAGAGCAUCGGGCUGCAACCAAGAGCGCCCGCGCGAGCGGACACGGACAGUAG
rnacentral:rRNA from 1 species